rnacentral:rRNA from 1 species
UACCAGCACCCCGAGUGGUCGGGACGUUUAUUGGGCCUAAAGCAUCCGUAGCCGGUUCUACAAGUCUUCCGUUAAAUCCAGCUGCUUAACAGAUGGGCUGCGGAAGAUACUAUGGAGCUAGGAGGCGGGAGAGGCAAGUGGUAUUCGAUGGGUAGGGGUAAAAUCCGUUGAUCCAUUGAAGACCACCAGUGGCGAAGGCGGCUUGCCAGAACGCGCUCGACGGUGAGGGAUGAAAGCUGGGGGAGCAAACCGG